ACGAACGCUGGCGGUGUGCCUAACACAUGCAAGUCGAGCGAAUGAAGUUCCUUCGGGAAUGGAUUUAGCGGCGGACGGGUGAGUAACACGUGGGCAACCUGCCUCAUAGAGGGGAAUAGCCUCCCGAAAGGGAGAUUAAUACCGCAUAAGAUUGUAGUACCGCAUGAUACAGCAAUUAAAGGAGCAAUCCGCUAUGAGAUGGGCCCGCGGCGCAUUAGCUAGUUGGUGAGGUAAUGGCUCACCAAGGCGACGAUGCGUAGCCGACCUGAGAGGGUGAUCGGCCACAUUGGGACUGAGACACGGCCCAGACUCCUACGGGAGGCAGCAGUGGGGAAUAUUGCACAAUGGGGGAAACCCUGAUGCAGCAACGCCGCGUGAGUGAUGACGGCCUUCGGGUUGUAAAGCUCCGUCUUCAGGGACGAUAAUGACGGUACCUGAGGAGGAAGCCACGGCUAACUACGUG
rnacentral:rRNA from 1 species